GACGAACGCUGGCGGCGUGCCUAAUACAUGCAAGUCGAACGCAGUGGGGACGGGUGAGUAACCCGUGGGUUACCUCCCAUCAGAGGGGAUAACACUUGGAAACAGGUGCUAAACCGAUACGGAUGGCUGGACCCGCGGUGAAUUAGCUAGUUGGUGAGGUAACGGCUCACCAAGGCCACGAUGCAUAGCUGGUCUGAGAGGGUGAUCGGCCACACUGGGACUGAGACACGGCCCAGACUCCUACGGGAGGCAGCAGUAGGGAAUCUUCGGCAAUGGACGAAAGUCUGACACAGCAACGCCGCGUGAGUGAAGAAGGUUUUCGGAUCGUAAAACACUUUUAUUAGAGAAGCGGUAUCUAAACAGAAAGCCACGGCUAACUACGUGCCAGCAGCCGCGGUAAUAC
rnacentral:rRNA from 1 species